AUUUGUUAGGUUUCACCAAAAACCAUUGUUUUGUAAAGUUCUUGCACGGAAAGAAGUCAUGGGUGUUGUAAUUUGCUCAAUAUCUAAAUUUUAUUUAUUCGGUUAAUGGUCGGUUUUGAUUAUCAUUAAUUUCAACAAUUUUUGAAUGGAAUUGAAUCGCCCUGUGUAGACGUUCUAUAUUUUGUAGAUGUCAGAUGGUUGAGUAGAGAUAGUAGCACUUUUUU